rnacentral:rRNA from 1 species
UACGGGGGGGGCAAGCGUUGUUCGGAAUUACUGGGCGUAAAGGGCUCGUAGGUGGCCAACUAAGUCGGAUGUGAAAUCCCCAGGCUUAACCUGGGAACUGCAUCCGAUACUGGAUGGCUUGAAUCCGGGAGAGGGAUGCAGAAUUCCAGGUGUAGCGGUGAAAUGCGUAGAUAUCUGGAGGAAUACCGGUGGCGAAGGCGGCAUCCUGGACCGGCAUUGACGCUGAGGGAGCGAAAGCCAGGGGAGCAAACGGG